GGAAGAGGGAGAGACACGAGCGAAGGGGAGGCCGAAGCCUCUGGAAGCUCCCGGAAGAAGAAAAAAAAAGAGAAAGGAGGGCCUUAACGGGCUAGCGGGUCGGAUCCAAGUCCAGAUCCGAAACCCGUUAGGCCCAAAUGAUUCAAUCGGUUUGGGUGAGCCCAAUGUAGGGUUGAUCCAAGCCCAAUUGAAUUAAACGGAUCAAUUAAGCCUAAUUGAUGUUGGGUCUGAACCCGACCAAGCCUGAAUGAACCCAAAUCAAGCAAAUUGGGCCAAAUUUGAACCCAAUUAAGUUGGAUUAGAUCCAGCAGACCCAAUUGAAUAUAGAUCAGGCCCAAUUUAAGCCCAAUUAUAUUGGCAGAAGGCCAAAUUGGCUAGAAAAAAAAAGGGUGACUAACAUCCGACCCAACCCUUUCUUUAAAGGCCCAAUUAGGCCUUGUAGAACCAAAUCUACUUUAAUUAAACCCAAAGGCUUCAAGAUGGGUGAAUUGAACUGGGCUAAAUCCUUGGUUAGGAUACAAACAAGUCCAUGGUAGGAUGAACGAAAUUUAUGAUUAGAGGAUAAUGUGGGUCUUGCAAUGUGAUUUUAGGAAUCAAAGACCCGUCGUCCGAACCC
rnacentral:lncRNA from 1 species